UUGUUUUUUUAUUAACCGAGACAAUCCCCAAAUAAACCCCACAAUGGCCAAACAAUAUUAACCGAUGGCAUCCUUCCCAAACAAUAUUAACCUUUCCAAAUAAUACUUUCCAUACACAUCAGGAAUCAAAUAUUACCCGAUGGCAUCCUUUCCAAACAAUAUUAUCCUUUCCAAAUAAUACUGUCCAUACCCAACAGGAAUCAAAUCGCAUCGCAAUCGAAAACAGAUGUACAACGCCAAUCAAUCUUUUCGUUCUUUCCAUCUUACACCUCCAAUGCCCAAAAAUAAAGCGACCAAUCAUAGUGUGUCCAUCUCACCCCUUCCAUAUACAACAACAAACCAAUUUUCAAAACGUUUCUAAGCGGGACAGGCGAGGCCUGUUUCUCCAUGCUUCCAGGUCUCGGUUUGGGAUCCUACCAGUUUGCCAUUGGAGCGGCUGGGCGAGGCCUGUUUCUUUCAAAGUUUGCCAUCGGAGCAGGAGGCACCAGUGCCGCCGCUGCUGCGAGCAACAGGUUAGCACCUACUGAUGUUUGACCGAGUUUAAACCACAGGGCAGUAAGCUGUGCAUGCUUCACAAUUUGCAACUUUACCUUUGUUUCUGAGUGCCACAACUGUUCUUAUGUACUCAGUAGUAGCCCCAACUGUUCAUUAUAGCUCCAGCAAUGCGCACAUGGCCUUCUUAUGUACGAGCGAGGCAUCGAGCUGUUAGAUUUAAGGAAUAAAAUGGUAUUAGAAUCACUGUAAAAGAGGUAAAUAUCUGCGAUUAGAAUCUAUACUCCCGUUCUUGAUAUGGAGAAAUGCAAGCUUCCAUUGUCACAAUUUUUAUAGGUGGCAGAGAGAGGGUGUAAAUCACUUUUUAGUAAAACACCAGUUUUGUUCUACAAUGCCAUAUGGAGAUAUACGGCAGUUCUCAACUAUUACUAAGAACUCUUUGAAAGCAGUAAGCAAUAAAUCAAAUGCUAGCUUCCAUUGUCAUAAUUUUUAUAGAGGCAAAUGGAGGCAACAAAUAACCUCCUGCUCCGAUGGCAAACCAAUCUUACAGGUCUCGCUUCCAUUGUUACAAUUUUAGGUGGCAGAGAGAGGGUGUAAAUCACUUUUUAGUAAAUCACCAGUUUUGUUCUAUAAUUUUUAUACGGAUGUUCUCAACUGUUACUACAUACUAUUUAAAAGCAGGAAGCAAUAAAUCAAAUGCAAGCUUCCAUUUUCACAAAUUUUAUAGAUGGCAGACAGGGCGUAAAUCACUUUUUAGUUACAGUGGUUCUCAAAUUAUGUAAAUCACUUUUUAGUAAAUAACCUUUUUAAUUCUACAAUGCCAUAUGGAGAUAUACAGUAGUUCUCAACUGUUUUCUAAAAACUCUUUCCUCAAAUAGUAUGCAAGGGGAUGAAAAGGUUACUGCCCUGUUCCGAUGAGCUCACAAAUUUUAAUGUGGCCCAUUAAAACUCCUUGAGCUUCUUGCUGUCGACUUCAUCAUUUCAAAAAUAUCUUCCAGAGUUUGAUGUUUGUCCCUUCAAUGAACUAGGAACCCAGGUAGUGAUGCCUCGCUGGAGUAUUGGUGAGCAUGCGAUCGGUUUUCUGCAUGUUUUAUAACCUGAU
rnacentral:lncRNA from 1 species